rnacentral:rRNA from 1 species
CCUACGGGUGGCAGCAGUAGGGAAUAUUGCUCAAUGGGGGAAACCCUGAAGCAGCAACGCCGCGUGGAGGAUGAAGGUUUUAGGAUUGUAAACUCCUUUUGUUAGAGAAGAUUAUGACGGUAUCUAACGAAUAAGCACCCGCUAACUCAGUACAAGCAGCCGCGGGAAUCAGGAGGGUUCAAGCGUUAAUAGGAAUCACUUGGCGUAAAGAGUGCGUAGGCGGGGUAAUAAGUCAGAUGGGAAAUCCUUUAGGUUAACUACAGAACUGCAUUUGAAACUGUUACUCUGGAGUGUGGGAGAAGUAUGUGGAAUGCGUGGUGUAGGGGUGAAAUGCGUAGAUAUCAAGAGGAAUACUCAUUGCGAAGGCGACCUGCUGGAACAUUACUGACGCUGAUGCACGAAAGCGUGGGGAGCGAACAGGAUUAGAUACCCCAGUAGUC